rnacentral:SRP_RNA from 1 species
GCCGGGCGCGGUGGCGCGCGCCUGUAGUCCCAGCUACUCGGGAGGCUGAGGCCGGAGGAUCGCUUGAGCCCAGGAGUUCUGGGCUGUAGUGCGCUAUGCCGAUCGGGUGUCCGCACUAAGUUCGGCAUCAAUAUGGUGACCUCCCGGGAGCGGGGGACCACCAGGUUGCCUAAGGAGGGGUGAACCGGCCCAGGUCGGAAACGGAGCAGGUCAAAAAUACAGACUUAAUAGCACUUACAAGUCAAAUUCUGCUGCUUAAUUUCCUGGUCUCCUAUUUUGUUCUAA